rnacentral:rRNA from 1 species
GAUGAACGCUGGCGGCGUGCCUAAUACAUGCAAGUCGAGCGAACGGACGCGAAGCUUGCUUCUCUGAUGUUAGCGGCGGACGGGUGAGUCACACGUGGAUAACCUACCUAUAAGACUGGGAUAACUUCGGGAAACCGGAGCUAAUACCGGAUAAUAUUUUGAACCGCAUGGUGCAAAGGUGAAAGACGGUCUUGCUGGCACUUAUAGAUGGAUCCGCGCUGCAUUAGCGAGUUGGUGAGGUAACGGGUUACCAAGGCAACGAUGCAUAGCCGACUUGCAGGGGUGGUCGGCCACCCUGGAGCUGGGCCGCGCACCAGGGUCCUGCGGUAGGCCGCAGUAGGCAAUCUGCCGCAACGGGCGAGAGCCUGACGGAGCAACGCCGCGUGAGUGGUGACGGUGUUCGGAGCGUAAAACUCUGUUAUUGGGGAAAAACAGAUGUGUAAGUAACUGUGCCCAUCGUGACGGUACCUAGUCAGAAAGCCACGGCUAACUACGUG